rnacentral:rRNA from 1 species
GCACCACAAGAGCGUGGAGUAUGUGGCUUAAUUCGACUCAACGCGCAAUAACUUAUUUGGUCCGAACGCUUUGAGGAUUGACAGUUUCUGGUACAAUGUGCGGCUUGUUUGUUACAACUGCGAAUGACUCGAUUUGUUGUAAAUAUGACUUGACCGGCCUUCGGGUGUCUUGGAUGGGUCGUAUCAGGUCGUACAUUGUAUUCAAUGAGAAAGUUCUUUUAUGAUUAUGUGGUAGGUGGUGCAUGGCCGUCUUUAAUUCGUGGAGUGAUCUGUCUGCUUAAUUGCGCAUUGCAAAUUGUAAUUAAUCUGGCUUGGAUGAUCGUUUGAUUUCGAUUUGAAUGCCAUUUCUUUUUUCGAGAAUGACUUGCCCUAAAGAUUGAUUAACACCGUGAGUGCAACGAGUGAGAUUGCGAGUCUUUGUUAUGUAGUGCUCAACAUACCUAUGUGCAGUAGGAUUUAACUACACCAUGUAACCUUUUUCAAAGGUUGAAUGAACUUAGGCGACUGCUAUACUUUUAAGAUGGUCGAAGGUUGUGGCAAUGACAGGUCUGUGAUGCCCUUAGAUGUUCAGGGCUGCACACGUACUACAUUGAUCUAGUCAAUAAGUAUGUGUGUAACAAUAAUUUUGAAUGUAUUGGUUAAGCUUUUCUUAUAUUUUGGUAAGAGGUUAAUACAGAACUUCGAGAGAGUUCCGACAACAGUCAAUCUAGUUAUUGCUUGUAGUCGAUCUCAUGAUUGUUUAGUUUUAUGCAACUUCGGGUCAUGAUUCACUAGUACGCUUCUAAUUCACAGUGGGGACAGUCGUUUGUAAUUCUGAGACUCGGUUCAACUAGGAAUGCCUAGUAUUGAUGGUUCACUAAACUUUCUGGAAUAAGUCCCUGCCCUUUGUACACACCGCCCGUCGCUUUUACCAAUGGCCCUCGUUGUGAGUGAGCUGGACAAGUUAUUUUAACUUGAAAAGUUCUCAAUCAAGGUUUGCUAAAGGAAAAAGAA